rnacentral:rRNA from 1 species
UCUAAGUACCCGGAGGAAGAGAAAUCAACCGAGAUUGCGGGAGUAGCGGCGAGCGAAACCGCACCAGCCCAAACCCAUGCACGUGCAAGCUUGAGGGCGUUGCUGCAUGAGGGGUUGUGGGACCGCGCAUUCCAUGGGCCUCAGACCAUGGACGCAGUUACAAAUCCGCGCGGAAGCGGAACGGCCUGGGAAGGCCGGCGGAACAGGGUGAGAGCCCCGUACGCGAAUCCGCGCGGACUGCGAGUGCGGCACCCGAGUAGCGCCGGGCACGUGAAACCCGGUGCGAACCUGGGGGGACCACCCUCCAAGGCUGAACACUCUCCUGUGACCGAUAGCGAACCAGUACCGUGAGGGAAAGGUGAAAAGCACCCCGAGAGGGGAGUGAAACAGUACCUGAAACCGUGCGCCUACAAGCAGUCGGAGCCCCCGAGCGGGGUGACGGCGUGCCUUUUGUAGAAUGAGCCAGCGAGUUGCGGUAUGCGGCGAGGUUAAGGUUUGAACCGAGCCGCAGUGAAAGCGAGCCUUUAAGAUGGCGUAUGAGUCGCAUGCUGCAGACGCGAAGCCGGGUGAGCUAUCCAUGGGCAGGCUGAAGCGGGGGUAAGACCCCGUGGAGGGCCGAACCCACUUCGGUUGAAAACGGAGGGGAUGACCCGUGGAUAGGGGUGAAAGGCCAAUCAAACCCGGAGAUAUCUCGUUCUCCCCGAAAUAGCUUUAGGGCUAGCCUCGGCCGUUCUCCGACGGCGGUAGAGCACUGGAUCGUCGAGGGGGCUUCACCGCCUACCGACACGAACCAAACUCCGAAUGCCGCCGGAUCAGAGGCCGGGAGUCAGAACAUGUGGGCUAAGCUGUGUGUUCGAGAGGGAAACAGCCCAGACCGCCCGC